UACAGAGGUCUCAAGCGUUGUUCGGAUUCAUUGGGCGUAAAGGGCGCGUAGGCGGCCACGCACGUCCGUUGUGAAAUCGCCCGGCUCAACUGGGCGGGGUCAGCGGAUACGGUGUGGCUCGAGCAAGCUAGGGGGCAAUGGAAUUCCCGGUGUAGUGGUGGAAUGCGUAGAGAUCCGGAAGAACACCGGUGGCGAAGGCGGCCUGCUGGGCUAUGGCUGACACUGAGGCGCGACAGCGUGGGGAGCAAACAGG
rnacentral:rRNA from 1 species